UGCCUCGUGGUGUAACUGGCAGCACCGGCGGUUUUGGUUCGCCCGGUUCAGGUUCGAACCCUGGCGAGGCAGCAA
rnacentral:tRNA from 1 species